AUGACUAAUUUCAACAUACUCCAUCAUGUCUCGAGUGGAAGAGCAAUUCCGAUCGCUGCUCCCUCCAUCGGAGUCCGUCACACUCUCCUUCAUCAUCGCGCCUCCUGCGCCCGUAUACUCUCUCCGCGAUCUCCCUUUCGCGACCGGCUCCCUGUCUUCGCACAACCAGUCUUCCGCUUUUCAGCCACGCGUUCUCAACCUCCUUCAGUCGCGACGCCACAGUCCUUCCGUCAUGCAGAAAUUCUGUCCGUCUCAGCCUCUUCUCCGGUCACCUCUCAAUCAACAUCCAUAACUUCCUCUUCCUCUUUUCAAGUAUAUGCAAGAGCUUGCGGCGCCUUCCGAGUUUCUUACACUCAUUGA